CCUACGGGUGGCAGCAGUGGGGGAUAUUGCACAAUGGAGGAAACUCUGAUGCAGCAACGCCGCGUGCGGGAAGAAGGCUCUCGGAUUGUAAACCACUGUUCUUGGUGAGGAUAACGACGAUAACCAAGGAGAACGCUCCGGCUAACUACGUGCCAGCAUCCGCAGUAAUACGUAGGGAGCAAGCGUUGUCCGGAUUUACUGGGUUUAAAGGGUGCGUAGGCGGUCUUGCAAGUCAGACGUGAAAACCACAGGCUAAACCUGUGGACUGCGUUUGAUACUGUGGGGCUUGAGUGAAGUAGAGGUAGGCGGAAUGUCCGGUGUAGCGGUGAAAUGCGUAGAGAUCGGGAGGAACACCAGUGGCGAAGGCGGCCUACUGGGCUUUAACUGACGCUGAGGCACGAAAGCAUGGGUAGCAAACAGGAUUAGAUACCCUAGUAGUC
rnacentral:rRNA from 1 species